rnacentral:rRNA from 1 species
GACGAACGCUGGCGGCGUGCUUAACACAUGCAAGUCGAACGGAAAGGCCCUCUUUUCUUGGUGUGCUCGAGUGGCGCACGGGUGCGUAACCGGUGAGUAACCUGACCUUGCCUCUGGGAUAACUUCAAGAAGCUGGGGCUAAUACCGGUAAGGCGCUCCUGCUGCAUGGUGGGGGUUGGAACGUGGAGGCGGAUUUGGAUGUACUCGCGGCUUAUCUGCAUGUUGGUGGGGUGGUGGAUUACCAAGGCUCUGACGGGUGGCCGGCCUGAGAGUGGGACCGGGCACAUGGGCACGGAGAUACGGGCCAGACUCCUACGGGAUGCAGGAGUGGGGAAUAUAGCACAAAGGGCGCAAGGCUGAUGCAGGAACGCCGCGUGCGGGAUUGCGGCCUUCGGGUUGUAGAGCGCAUCCGCCUGUGACGGAGGGUGAGUGACGGUAAUGGGUGAAGAAGCACCGGCUAACUACGUG